GGAUUUUGGCAUCAUUGGAAACGUUGUGCUUUGUGAUCCUUUUCAUUUAUUUUCAUGAUUAGUUCUUAUAGGUUAGGGGCUCCAAAGCGCCAACGUUUAUUUACAUUUUUUAUUAUUUCAUUGUCAUUUUUCUUUAACCGGAAACACGCCCCUCACCCCCAAGACCCCUCUUCACUACUUCCUCUACGUAUUGGACGUUUGAGAUGCGGGCAGGAGAGGAGGACCACGGCUCUUUAUGAUAAACCUUUUUUUUUUUUUUUUAAAUAAACGUUCAUUUAAUAUCUACUUUAAUUCAAUUUCGUAAUAACUCAAUACCGGCUAGCGUCUUCCUAGGCUUGUCUCGGCUUGUUUUGGAAACCUCCGGCAGCAAGAAACAAAACGCAAAACAGGGUUGUUGGUGCUCAUCUGGAGAAAUGGUGCCGGCUGUCCUGAAGCUCUACUUCUUCGGGAGCGCUGUGGCCAUCUUCGCCUUCCUCUUCAGCCUGGGCGACUCCGUCGGUGGCCUGAUGUACGUCCACGACAACCGCUGGAUCCUGGACGCGGAAAGAGAUCCCGCGCUGAGGCAUCGUGGGAAAUCUUCUGCGACCUCGCACCUGGAUUACUGACAAGGGGGUGCGGUAGUGAGAAAAUGUCUGCCGGAUGCACUUUCUGGAACUGUGGCAGCUUAAAAAAUGGGUCGAAAGAGCACUACUGAAACUUGUUGAGCCGACGACAGACUUGCACCGCCAUGUGUCAUGCAACCUCGCCCCUCGGGGCUGCAAGCUGCAUUGAAAACUUUCAGAAUCAAUAUUUUAGUGUAAUGGUCUCGUGAUUAAAAAUAAAUCACGUUCACUGGGAAGGCUGGCCUCUCUGGCAAUUGUUGG